rnacentral:rRNA from 1 species
CCUACGGGAGGCAGCAGUGAGGCAUAUUGGUCAAUGGGCGUAAGCCUGAACCAGCCAAGUCGCGUGAGGGAUGAAGGUUCUAUGGAUCGUAAACCUCUUUUAUAAGGGAAUAAAGUGUGGGACGUGUCCUGUUUUGUAUGUACCUUAUGAAUAAGGAUCGGCUAACUCCGUGCCAGCAGCCGCGGUAAUACGGAGGAUCCGAGCGUUAUCCGGAUUUAUUGGGUUUAAAGGGUGCGUAGGCGGCCUUUUAAGUCAGCGGUGAAAGUCUGUGGCUCAACCAUAGAAUUGCCGUUGAAACUGGGAGGCUUGAGUAGGUUUGAGGCAGGCGGAAUGCGUGGUGUAGCGGUGAAAUGCUUAGAUAUCACGCAGAACCCCGAUUGCGAAGGCAGCCUGCCAAGCCAUGACUGACGCUGAUGCACGAAAGCGUGGGGAUCAAACAGGAUUAGAUACCCCGGUAGUC